GCAGAAGUGCGCGAAGACGGGAACGUGGAACUUGAACAGUCUGGUUUCGUACAUAUUGCUAAAGAAGUGGCUGAGGACGGAGCAUCUGUUGAGGAAAGCGAUUGUCCUCCCGGCCUCUGGUGUCGUUCGGCGUAAAAAUGGCAGAGGAAAUGCUGGAAGACCGAAUGAGAACUGGAAAUGGGAUUAGGAUUAACAUGUCAUAAUGUCGACAAACGUAGUCGAUAAUCCUGAAUGCAUUCAUAUUCCACCAUCAAAAUCUGUAGUACUGCAUUAAGCAAUGUCAUUAUUUUGAAUCAGUGUUGUUAAUCACAAAAAUGUUCAUCAUGUUCACUAUGACCAUGAUGACCAAGAAAUAC